UACGUAGGGUGCAAGCGUUGUCCGGAAUUAUUGGGCGUAAAGAGCUCGUAGGCGGUUUGUCGCGUCGGAUGUGAAAACCCGGGGCUCAACCCCGGGCCUGCAUUCGAUACGGGCAGACUAGAGUUCGGUAGGGGAGUCUGGAAUUCCUGGUGUAGCGGUGAAAUGCGCAGAUAUCAAGCGGAACACCGGUGGCGAAGGCGGCCUUCUGGACAGUGACUGACGCUGAGACGCUAAAGCGUGGGGAGCAAACAGG
rnacentral:rRNA from 1 species